GAUGAACGCUGGCGGCGUGCCUAAUACAUGCAAGUCGAGCGAACAGACGAGGAGCUUGCUCCUCUGACGUUAGCGGCGGACGGGUGAGUAACACGUGGAUAACCUACCUAUAAGACUGGGAUAACUUCGGGAAACCGGAGCUAAUACCGGAUAAUAUAUUGAACCGCAUGGUUCAAUAGUGAAAGACGGUUUUGCUGUCACUUAUAGAUGGAUCCGCGCCGCAUUAACUAGUUGGUAAGGUAACGGCUUACCAAGGCAACGAUGCGUAGCCGACCGGAGAGGGUGGUCGGCCACACUGGAACUGAGACACGGUCCAGACUCCUACGGGAGGCAGCAGUAGGGAAUCUUCCGCAAUGGGCGAAAGCCUGACGGAGCAACGCCGCGUGAGUGAUGAAGGUCUUCGGAUCGUAAAACUCUGUUAUUAGGGAAGAACAAAUGUGUAAGUAACUAUGCACGUCUUGACGGUACCUAAUCAGAAAGCCACGGCUAACUACGUG
rnacentral:rRNA from 1 species